UUCCAUUUUUUUUUUUUGCCUAUGAUGCUCAGUUUAGUUUGGUGUUGUUCUUCCUGCCAAGGUUUCACCUGCCAUAGCAAUGUUGGCAGGACGAUGAUGACUGUGAGCAAGGAUAGGGAACACAUCUUUUCCCUUGAACUGCAUCCCAGUCGUCCCAUCAGGUGUCACUUUUUGUCUGUCGGCGUCAUCGUUUAUCAGCAGCGUCACCCUAGCCAACCCCCUAAUCAAUGUGCCGCCUCUUCGUGAGAUUGGAGACGUGUGGUCCUAGAGAUUUCCACCCCCUCCUUGCUCGCGGACACAAAGCAGUUGAAGGCUGAGGUGCACUCACUGACAUCAAUGCACGCUGUGUUCUGAAGAAUCCACUCCUUGCUCAGGAACCUCCCUGCAAUGGCUUGCAUACAUCCAAGUUGAUCUUUCAGCAGCCUUCACUGCCAUCUAUUUUGCCAGGAUUUUGGUAGGGCUUCCUUCACCUAUCUGUGGAUCUCAAAAAGCAUAGGGGACAGGUUGCACAAUAAAACAUUUCCCUGAGCAGUGCCUUCGCAACUGCUGAAGAGUCCUGUUUAAAUGUGGAGAAACACACAUGUCAAUAAAAUCAAGACAGUAUUGCUUUCCCUCACUUUGUUCUUCCAUAAAAUCCCUCAAACAGUUCACUUUAUAUAAUCUGGAUUCCUCUUUGUAUAUUAUUAUAGUACCAAUUAUAUAACUCUAAUGAAAAUUUAAAAAUAAUUUGUGAGUCAUUUGUGAGUUUGACAAUUCUUUUGUAAACCAAUAUAUCUGUAUCUCUUCCUACAUUUGGCAUCCCCCCUUUGACACUUGGUUCUGACCAUGUGUCAACUAUGAGGAAACAGAUAUCUUUCUAAACAGGAUUUCCUAUUUGUUCCAGACCAAAAUGUAUAGCCACCAAACAAUCCACUUCCCUUCAAACAGUUUUUUUGUUUGUUUUUAACUGAGCUGCCCUUAUCUGCAGCUCCUUUAAAUCUGUAUUUAAAUGUUAAUGACCCAUCAAAUACAUUAGGUGUUAAUGACCUAUCAGAUUCAGAAACGCCUCGGACAAGCAGACUGUGCUUUGCUGCAGCUUUUGCAGCAGCUUCUGCUCUCACAUUCCCCUGUGAAACUGAAAAGUCUUUAAAAAAUGCUUCACAUUUGCAGAACGCAAUUAGUUUGAAUAACAACACAGCAUCAAUCAGAACAGCAACCAAUGUAUGGUAGGUAAUGGGUUUGAGAAUUUCCCUUUAGCCAAAAAUCUGCCAAAUCAUAUACCACUCCCAAUGCAUACCUGCUACCAGUGUAUAUGUUGACACCUGUCACUUACAUAUUUGCAUUUCUCAAUCAAUGCAACCAAUUCUGCAGCUUCUGCAGAAUAAUGUAAUGAGUGAUUCAGCCAAAUUUGUCAUACAAAGUUGUAACGUCAAAACCCACUUGGCUUCUACCAGUUGCUGGAUCUUUUAAUGCUGAGUCGUCCACAAACAGCUUCAUAUCUGCAUUUAUCAGCUGUACUGUAUCUGAGUCACUUAGCUUUUGAAAAGUGUUCAGUCUGACAAUAAUAAAUUCCACAGUCCUAAUUGCAUUUAUCACUGCAGAAAUCUUUUGUGAUUUACCUCUAAACCUCUGAUUAAAUUAUUUUUAUUAUUGGGAUCAGAUGUUUUUUCCCUUCCCAUAACCCCUUUUGGUCCAAAGUUCCAAAACUUUCAAUACCAAUUGUUUUUGUUCUCCUUUGCUUAAUAGAACAUGGAGAUCAGAAUUUGAUACCUUAAACAAUUUGUCCAGUGAGUCAAUCUAAGCUACUGAGACAACACAGUGAUUACUGUUCUAGUAUAACCAACCUAACCUAUCGUUAAUCUUUAAUCUAACUUUCUCUAUCACAUUCUUUAACUACUUACUCUAACCUUCUCUACCAUCCUUUGUGUUAGGAUAACAUCUGUAAUUACAUCUGGGUGAGUACCUCAGCAUCUCACAAGAAAGUGUUACUUACAGAGGUGAGGGAAGCGUUCAGAAUCUUCCAUUGAUAUGCAUAUAUCAAAUCCUCUAGUUACAUCUACGCCUUGUGAUGUUAAAAUUAGCAUAUUACUCAAUGAACACAUGAAAUCUCUACCAAUAAUAUCUAUCAGCCAGCGUGGUGACAACAAAAAUUAAUGUUUAAAAUUUCCUUAACCUCAUUUUUUUUUUUAAAACAAUGGUACAGUGUAUCUCUCUAGCACUGUCGUACCUGUUGCUUCAAUUGUUUUAAAACAUCUCUAACAUUCAUUUUUGGAGACUGAUUCUGUUUUCACCUGAAUCUACCAAAAAUGUGAUGUCUUUACCAUUUACUUUGAUUGUGUGUUUUUGCAUAUAUGCAUCAGUUCUAACAGUAAUUCAUAUGGUGUGCGUGUUACAGUGCUCUUACGAAUUUGGUGAGUAGGUUGAAACUUUCUCUCUGUCUCCGCGUCUGCACCAGAUGAAUCCUUCACUGUCCCCAGCUCCACCGCUACUCAAUCGCACUAUGUGUAUUGGUUCUCAGGGCAAUCCCUGAUCCAAUGUCCAAUUUUGCCACAUUUGAAACAAGCGUCAGUUCUUCCACGUCCCCUUCCUCUCCCUCCAUGACCUUUCUUGUGCCCGCAGACUUGGUUUUGAUAUGCUGCCAGCUGUGCCAUUCGCAGUCCCUCUGUCAACUGCGUUGCCUUUUUCUUUUUCUUGCUGUUCAAGAGUUUUUCUGCAUAAUCAGCAUUACCCCAUGCUGGAUUCACCAUUCUCCGCUCCUGUGCAGAGACGGAUCUUGCCACUUUCGAAUACUGAGUCCCCAUCUCAGUCAUCAGCAGUCUUUGCUGUUCAGUGCUGGUUCCAGUUGCACUGCAUACCGCUCCCCCACUUAACACUUGUGGGAGAGAUGAAGUGGUAGGUUCUUUCAUAUUGGUGAAUGUCCAUGGUCUGUAGAUCAGCUGAGUGUUUCCAUCUCCUGCAGCCACCUCCACCAUCGGUGCUUGCGGGGUUGCAUUCAAAUCAUAAAUUGCCUCCUUCCCGGUGCGCCGUGGAGUAUGUGCUGCCACAUAUGGAGUGGUGCAUGAUGGAGGCCUGUCCACCUCCUCUGCUGCAACAAGCUCGAGGUCUGGAUGGAGGUUAGGGACGGCUGGAGCUGCCGCCUGCGCCCUCUGCACCGGUAGCAGCUGAGUGUCCUGCUGGUCAUCACACUGCACCGCUGCUGGCUGUGGUUGUCCUCUCGGUGGAGCUGAGUCCAGAUCAGGGUCUAGUCGGACACACUGAGACUUGGAGAUUAGUUCAAUCCCUACCUUUUGUAAACUGUCCCUGAUAUUCACUUCAGUUAACCAAAAUUCACACGCUCCAGUACAAAUAUCCCUACAUUUCUUUUUUCCUUCUAAUUUGUCCUCACUAACUCGUUCCUCUCUAACUCUUUCCUCUCUAACUCUACGCUUACCAUCACUUAUUAACAUAUACUGAACAUUAAGAAAAGAAAGCUGAAGUGGAUUAGCAUUAUCCUUAUCUUUCUUUCCUUUAUCGAUGUUUAAACCCAUUUCUCUAGUAGGUUGUCUCAGCAGUUUUAACACAACUCUUAUUUAUCAAUUUAAACUCCCAAUUUGUUCAACAAAAUACAAAAUUUGGAGGACCAAAGUUAUGCUGAUAUGGGAAAAGACAUUUAGAAAUUCCCUAAUUUAUUUUAAUCCGUUCUUUUUAAUUUACUUUUGUUAAAAAUUUGUU
rnacentral:misc_RNA from 1 species